GACGAACGCUGGCGGCGUGCCUAAUACAUGCAAGUCGAGCGAAUUAAUAGGAGCUUGCUCCUAUUGGUUAGCGGCGGACGGGUGAGUAACACGUGGGCAACCUGCCUGUAAGACUGGGAUAACAUCGGGAAACCGAUGCUAAUACCGGAUAAUCCUUUUCUACACAUGUAGGGAAGCUGAAAGUCGGUUUUUAGCUGACACUUACAGAUGGGCCCGCGGCGCAUUAGCUAGUUGGUGAGGUAACGGCUCACCAAGGCAACGAUGCGUAGCCGACCUGAGAGGGUGAUCGGCCACACUGGGACUGAGACACGGCCCAGACUCCUACGGGAGGCAGCAGUAGGGAAUCUUCCACAAUGGACGAAAGUCUGAUGGAGCAACGCCGCGUGAGCGAUGAAGGCCUUCGGGUCGUAAAGCUCUGUUGUUAGGGAAGAACAAGUGCUGGAGUAACUGCCGGCACCUUGACGGUACCUAACCAGAAAGCCACGGCUAACUACGUGCCAGCAGCCGCGGUAACAC
rnacentral:rRNA from 1 species